AUCCCUGUAGCGCAAUGAAUAGCGCGUUGGAUUUUUAAUCCAAAGGACGUGUGUUCAAACCUCACCUGGGAUG